CCUACGGGAGGCAGCAGUGAGGAAUAUUGGUCAAUGGACGAGAGUCUGAACCAGCCAAGUAGCGUGAAGGAUGACUGCCCUAUGGGUUGUAAACUUCUUUUAUAUGGGAAUAAAAUGUUCCACGUGUGGGAUUUUGUAUGUACCAUAUGAAUAAGGAUCGGCUAACUCCGUGCCAGCAGCCGCGGUAAUACGGAGGAUCCGAGCGUUAUCCGGAUUUAUUGGGUUUAAAGGGAGCGUAGGUGGAUUGUUAAGUCAGUUGUGAAAGUUUGCGGCUCAACCGUAAAAUUGCAGUUGAAACUGGCAGUCUUGAGUACAGUAGAGGUGGGCGGAAUUCGUGGUGUAGCGGUGAAAUGCUUAGAUAUCACGAAGAACCCCGAUUGCGAAGGCAGUUCACUGGACUGCAACUGACACUGAGGCUCGAAAGUGUGGGUAUCAAACAGGAUUAGAUACCCCAGUAGUC
rnacentral:rRNA from 1 species